GUUGAAUAUUCCUUAUUUGAAAUGUUUGGGACCAGAAAUGUUUGGAAUUUGGGAAGAUUUACAUAUACAGGAUGAGAUAUCUUAAGAAUGAAACCCAAGUCUAAACACAAAAUUCAUUUAUAUUUCAUAUAUAUUGAUACAUAUAGCUUAAAGGUAAUUUUAUAUAAUGUCUUCAAUAACUUUGUGCAAAUGAAGCUUCGACUGCUUUUUCACUGUGCCUAGUCACAUGAGGUUAUGAGAGACAGGACUAGCUGGCUUUCAUAGGCCGACUAAGAAUCCUUAAGCCUAGCUGGGAAGGUGACCGCAUCCACUUUUAAACACGGCACUUGCAACUUAGCUCACAUCUAACCAGUUAGACAGCUCACUAAAAUGCUAAUUAGGCAAAAACAGGAGGUAAAGAAAUAGCCAAUCAUCUAUUGCCUGAGAGCACAGCAUGAGGGACAAGGAUCAGGAUAUAAACCCAGGCAUUCAAGCCUGCAACGGCAACCCCCUUUGGGUCUCCUCCCUUUGUAUGGGAGCUCUGUUUUCACUCUAUUUCACUCUAUUAAAUCUUGCAACUGCACUCUUCUGGUCCAUGUUUGUUACAGCUCGAGCUGAGCUUUCACUCACCGUCCACCACUGCUGUUUGCUGCCGUCGCAGACCUGCCGCUGACUCCCAUCCCUCCGGAUCCGGCAGGGUGUCCACUGUGCUUCUGAUCCAGCGAGGCGCCCAUUGCUGCUCCUGAUUGGGCUAAAGGCUUGCCGUUGUUCCUGCACGGCUAAGUGCCCGGGUUCGUCCUAAUCAAGCUAAACAGUAGUCACUGGGUUCCACGGUUCUCUUCCGUGACCCACGGCUUCUGACAGAGCUAUAACACUCACCACAUGGCCCAAGAUUCCAUUCCUUGGAAUCUGUGAGGCCAAGAACCCCAGGUUAGAGAACCUGAGGCUUGCCACCAUCUUAGAAGCGGCUUGCCACCAUCUUGGAAGUGGCUCGCCACCAUUUUGGCAACCAGGAAGGGACCUCCAAAGCGGGAGAAAGCAUUUAUGGUGAGGAGAAAAGCAGCUGGUAUCACACUCUACCCAAGUCCCAAAAGCAGGUUCACAUAACUCCUGUCUUCAUUAUCUGAUAUCCGGGACUUUUUCCCUUUCACCUUCCAUUAUAGGAUGAUGCAGCAAGAAGGCCCUCACCAGAUACCAGUCCUUUGAUCUUGGACUACCCAGGCUUCAGAACUAUAAGAAAUAAAUCUCCGUUCUUUGAGGAUUACCCAGUUUGUGCUAUUCUGUUAUGGCAGCACAAAAUGGACUAAGACAUAGGUCCAAUCUAAGGCCUAUCUCCCAGAGGACACCUCAUAGCUGUGAAUGAAUGAGCACUAAGUAAGCCAGCAUCUGCCUUUUUUGUUCUGGAAAUCCCACUGUUUAUAAGAUUUCAAACUAUUGCACAUCUCUGGUAAUCUUUUCUCCUUGUUUCUCUCUCUACAAGGUCAAACAGACCUGUACAUUUUCAACUGACUCUACUGGUUCCUUUUAUUUUAUUUUACAUGCUAACUUUGAUGCUUCCCCUUGCUAUUGAGGGACAAUUUAGAAUAAUGAUUAAAGGGAAUAUUUUACAACCAGAAAUUAUAUGUCCUAAUUCCCAUUCUUACCUAUUAGUCAGUGUGUAUCUUUGCUUCUACUCCUAAUUCGCAAAAUGGAGAUAAAAUUGUAAACUGGACUCUCAGGGUAGGUGUAAGAAGCAG
rnacentral:lncRNA from 1 species